rnacentral:rRNA from 1 species
GACGAACGCUGGCGGCGUGCUUAACACAUGCAAGUCGAACGGAAAGGCCCUGCUUUUGUGGGGUGCUCGAGUGGCGAACGGGUGAGUAACACGUGAGUAACCUGCCCUUGACUUUGGGAUAACUUCAGGAAACUGGGGCUAAUACCGGAUAGGAGCGCCUGCUGCAUGGUGGGGGUUGGAAAGUUUCGGCGGUUGGGGAUGGACUCGCGGCUUAUCAGCUUGUUGGGGGGGUAGUGGCUUACCAAGGCUUUGGCGGGUAGCCGGCCUGAGAGGGUGACCGGCCACAUUGGGACUGAGAUACGGCCCAGACUCCUACGGGAGGCAGCAGUGGGGAAUAUUGCACAAUGGGCGGAAGCCUGAUGAAGCAACGCCGCGUGCGGGAUGAAGGCCUUCGGGUUGUAAACCGCUUUCGCCUGUGACGAAGCGUGAGUGACGGUAAUGGGUAAAGAAGCACCGGCUAACUACGUG